rnacentral:rRNA from 1 species
GACGAACGCUGGCGGCGCGCUUUAUACAUGCAAGUCGAACGUGAAGCUCGGAGCUUGCUCCGGGUGGAAAGUGGCGAACGGGUGAGUAUCACGUGAGAAACCUGCCCCGAAGACCGGGAUAACACCGGGAAACCGGUGCUAAUACCGGAUGCCCUCACCGGAUCGCAUGGUCUGGUGAGGAAAUGGAUUCCGCUUCGGGAUGGUCUCGCGGCCUAUCAGCUUGUUGGUGGGGUAAUGGCCCACCAAGGCUUCGACGGGUAGCUGGUCUGAGAGGAUGUCCAGCCACACUGGGACUGAGACACGGCCCAGACUCCUACGGGAGGCAGCAGUAGGGAAUCUUGCGCAAUGGGCGAAAGCCUGACGCAGCGACGCCGCGUGA